AGACAUCUAACACUGAUAUGUUUAUAAACUGGGAUGGAUUUAAUGAUGUCGAGGAAUUUAAGACAGGACCGCAUGCAAGUGGUAUAAAAGAAUAUAUAAUGGCUAUUGGUACUACUGCGGGUGGUAAUGAUGUUCACGAUUUCGAAAAUGUAGGAAUUGUUCAGCACAAAGCGUUACAUAAAAUGGUAAUGCAAAAUGGAUAUUCAUACUAUGCAACUAUACAAGCCAUUGAUUUUGCCAACAGAGUAACAACAGUAAUAUCAGACCCUAUCAUAAUUGACAGCACUUCACCACUAGCUACAAAUAGCCCUAUCACAAUAGAAAACCGACAUAUUAUCUCUAAUACAGAAAUAAA